CAGACAUUUAAGCAAUACCCUUUGGUGUGCCAGUAUUUUCAGAAGCACUGGGAAGGCAUUGGCCACAUGUGGUGUGACUACGGCCGUCGGUUCAGUCACGCUCGUUCUGAAACAAACAAUGUGAUUGAAAGAUUUUUCCACCGCCUGAAAUACCAGUUUUUAUCUGGCUACAAGAAUAGGCGUCUGGAUGAUCUGAUUGAAGUGCUCCUAGGGAAGGCCGACGACUACUUCUCAGUCAUAAAAACCCUGCAAGAUGUGGGCCGCAUGAAAAACAGGUUUGCUGACACCUUGUCUCAAGUUUCAGACUCUGCUUCAAGACUGAUGGAAAGUGGUUGGGCUCUUAAAAUUACAGUCAAGAACAGCCAUGGAGUUAAUGCAUAUCAAGUCCCAUCUGAGUCAAGAGAAGACAUGGUGUAUGAUGUCUGCCAUGUUGAGUCCUACUGCAACUGUACAUAUGGCUUACGAGGACUUCUUUGCAAGCAUCUAGUGUUACUUGCAAAAUUAGCAGAGGCUGACAAUGACAUCUAUCCAAACAUGGAAACAGACCUUGGCAAGAAUUGCAGUGAAAGAAAGGCAUUACUUUGUACACUGUGAGGACUUGAAAGUGAUAAAAAUGCCAAGUUUGUUUGGAAAUCUGUGUUUUUUUGCAUCGGCUGAAACACUUCAGUGCACUUGUUGUACGUUCUCUCACUAUAACACAUGUGCUUGCCUGAAGGUGGCUUGUAGCCAUUUUAAACAAAUGAAAAACUCUCUGAAAAGUCCUCUAUCAACUUUGAAUGACACUCCUGUAGUUGAAAGCACAGACAAAAAAUGCACAGAAGAUGCGGUUGGAAAACUAAAUGCUGUUUUAGACACAGUUAAACAGUGGGCAUUCAUUCCAGAGGGUAUUACUGCAAUGAUAGAUGAACUGCAUACAAAUGUCUUAAAAACAAAACAAGUAGGCAAAAGUAUAUGCCAGUACGAAAUAAAGAUGACAGAUAAUGCACGCAAAAUUAGGCCAUUGUAUUCUAGCAAGAAACGUUCGGCCAGCAUCGACAUUCCAACAGUCUGAAAAUGAAUGUGAACAGUCGAUAACCACUGAAAGAGAGACAUCCUCUGGAGAAAAUGAAAACCUUUUGGAAUACAAAACAAAAAAGAGAAGAGUUAAAGCUAAGUAUAUGCACAAGUAGACUUUUGUGUGACAUUUCAAAGGGACUGCAUCCAUUACUUCUGUUUAUUGAAACCUAAAGCUGAAUAGCUGUCUUAACUUUCUGCCAAGGAACAGAUGAAAAGAAAUUGUUUGGUCUCUCAAGCAGUUGUUAUUUAUGUGUGUUAUUCAUUACUUUGGCUUGGUUGCUGUUUUUGAUACAAAUUCAUCUGUGCCCAUUGUAAUAUUUUCAUAUGUUACUAUUUUUAUAUUGCUAUGCAUUAUAAAUAAAGGAUUACUUAUUACUAUUAAA